CGGCGUUAGAUUUUCCGCUCAACGAAACGAAUUCCCGCAACGAAAAACUUCCGCCCCCGCUAAAAAUGCGCGUUUUCUUGCCGCAGCGCUCGGCUCGUCCUCUCUCCUGCACAAUCUAUUCCCAGGUCGGAUAGGACGGGUAAUUUAAUUUGGCGAGUAGAGCUGGGCGGGACGCGCGCCGGCCAUCGGGGCGGUUGAAAAUGUCUGGAAUAUAAGAAAACCAACAAUGAGUAGUCGGCGAAGAAAGUCCGAGUAAAAGACACACGGAGUACUCGGCUGCGGCCCCCGCGGAAAACGAGGAGUAGUGACGACGAGCUCACAGCGGUAGCAGCCGCGUUCCGGGCGUUCCGAGUGAGUAACCGAGGCGGCUAAACUAGAAGCUAGUCGACGAGGGAACGAGUAUAAAGGAGAGUCCGCCGCCGCGGCCCUCCCCCCUCCCGAAGAUGAGCAGAAAUUGGGGGUGAAAAGAAGCGGAGGAAAAAACAAACGACGAAGCGGACCGGAGACACAACUUCGGAGAGAUGCUCAUCUGUCUAAUGGGCGCGGUGGCGGCGGCCCACCGGAUCGCCGUAUAGCGUCGCUCAAUUCGCGUACUGCGGAAACGGCCGGGCGUCGCCCAAUUUUCAUCGUCGAGACGACGGAGAGCCGAAGAUCUCGUGUUCGGGGAGAUUAAGAGAAAGUUUUUGUUUCUUUAAAUUUGGUUACCGAUUUUUGGGAAAACGUACAACGUCCAUCAUCGGUCAUUUCGGGUGUGAUCGGUCGGCCUCGAAAAAUAGAAGAAUCGCAACGACCGCCAUUUUGGAUUUCAUCGUCGGAGGGAUUUCAAAAUCUAAUGAGGUGAAAUAGUUCGGUCCGCGAAUAUCAAAAAAAUAUUCAUAAUUUCAACGAGAAGUGAAAACGUAACGAUUAUAAGGAAAAUAAAACUUUGCAGUCAGCCUCGAAAAAUAGAAAAAC